rnacentral:rRNA from 1 species
UACGUAGGGUGCGAGCGUUGUCCGGAUUUACUGGGCGUAAAGAGCGCGCAGGCGGUCGUUCAAGUCGAGUGUGAAAGCCCCCGGCUCAACUGGGGAGGGUCACUCGAUACUGAUCGACUCGAAGGCAGAAGAGGGAAGCGGAAUUCCCGGUGUAGUGGUGAAAUGCGUAGAUAUCGGGAGGAACACCAGUGGCGAAGGCGGCUUUCUGGUCUGCUCUUGACGCUGAGGCGCGAAAGCUAGGGUAGCAAACGGG